rnacentral:sRNA from 1 species
UGUAGGUUCAGCAAUGUAAAAUUGAGAAGGAAAAAAAUAAAAAUAAAAACCCACACGAGAAGAAGGUAGAAGAUAUACUAAAUUGAAGCAAAGAAAUCGAAAACGAGAAAGAAAGAACGAAAUCGAAAAUGGCAGUGAUGGAGAAGUUGAAGAUGUUCGUCGUUCAAGAGCCUGUUGUCGCCGCUUCCUGUCUCAUCGCUGGCUUCGAUUUUAAUGUGAUUCGCUAUCUGUCAGAAUACCCUGGACAUUCAGCUUGUCUAUUGUUAAUUAGAUGAGUAUCUCCUAGACCUAGCAGAUUAUUUACUGUGCUUGUGAAAUUUCUUUUUAUAUGUGUUUUUACUCGUUUUGUUUGUUUUAGUGUGACUUCAGUGUGCAUUUGAUGCCUGCGAUAUUAGAUUUUUUACUUUUGCUGUUCAGAAAACUGUUAUCGUGAGUCUUAAUCCUCCUUUAAUCAGGCUAAUUCAAAUUGGCACAAUCAUUAAAAUAAUUCCUGUCUUUCUAACAUCUUAUUUGCUUGAAUAUGUUAUGCUUUUAUAUGAUAGGACUACCUGCAGUUUGGCAUGCACCAUUUGAAUCACAUUGAAGAAAUUGUUCUAGUCUGAAGUUUGUGCAUCCAAUUGCCUGAAUCUUUUCUGCUUUUAUUUGAUAAAAUUGCCUGACUGAUAGGGACGAAUUCAAAUUGCUCUUUAAAUAUCCUUUUAAAAAAUUAGGGCCGAAAAUAAAAGCAUAACGUUCUAUUUGUGGUUCUUGGCUCCUUUCUCUUGGCUCCCCUGGUGUGUCUGGAAGGGCAGAGUGAUAGUGAGAGUUCUGCCUCUGGUUUUAAAAUUUCUUUUGAUUAAUGUUAUCUAUAACCAGUGUAUUUCUGUAAUGAGUCUACUCAAAAUUAGAAUUAGUUUAAAAUUGUGCAUAUCUUGGUCAUAGUUAUUUUCUACUGACAGGCUAAUCACUUAUCUUGCCGCGUAAUCCCCCGCAGGUCUAUUUCUUCCAGCUGUUGUGAGACCCAUGUUGGAUUCAUAUCAGGCAACCAAGCAACCUCCUCAACCUGCUUUAAGUGAU